GACGAACGCUGGCGGCGUGCCUAAUACAUGCAAGUCGAGCGCUUGCACAAGAAAGCUUGCUUUCUUGUUGCUUGAGCGGCGGACGGGUGAGUAACACGUGGGCAACCUGCCUAUAAGACUGGGAUAACUUCGGGAAACCGGAGCUAAUACCGGAUAAUGCUUUUGAACACAUGUUUGAAAGCUGAAAGAUGGUUUCGGCUAUCACUUAUAGAUGGGCCCGCGGCGCAUUAGCUAGUUGGUGAGGUAACGGCUCACCAAGGCGACGAUGCGUAGCCGACCUGAGAGGGUGAUCGGCCACACUGGGACUGAGACACGGCCCAG
rnacentral:rRNA from 1 species